UACGUAGGUGGCAAGCGUUGUCCGGAUUUACUGGGCGUAAAGGGCGUGCAGGCGGUCUGCUAAGUCUAGGGUGAAAGCUCCCGGCUCAACUGGGAGAGGUCCUUGGAUACUGGCGGACUUGAGGGAGGUAGAGGAGAGUGGAAUUCCGGGUGGAGCGGUGAAAUGCGUAGAGAUCCGGAGGAACACCAAUGGCGAAGGCAGUGCCCUGGCCGACGGCUGACGCUCAGGCGCGAAAGCGUGGGGAGCAAACAGG
rnacentral:rRNA from 1 species